GGGUGGUAAAUUUCAUCUAAAGCUAAAUAUUGGCCGGAGACCGAUAGCGCACAAGUAGAGUGAUCGAAAGGUUAAAAGCACCUUGAAAAGGGAGUUAAACAGCACGUGAAAUUGUUGAAAGGGAAGCGCUUGCGGCCAGACUCGGGCGCAGGGUUCAGCGGGUGCGUGUCACCCGUGCACUCCCUGCCGCCCGGGCCAGCAUCAGUUCUAACGGUCGGUCAAAGGCCCCCGGAAUGUGUCGUCUCUCGGGACGUCUUAUAGCCGGGGGUGCAAUGCGGCCCGUCGGGACUGAGGAACGCGCUUCGGCUCGGAUGCUGGCGUAAUGGCCGUAAGCGGCCCGUCUUGAAAACACGGAC
rnacentral:rRNA from 1 species